UCUCAGUUCAGAUUGCAGGCUGCAACCCGCCUGCNUGAAGUCGGAAUUGCUAGUAAUCGCGGAUCAGCAUGCCGCGGUGAAUACGUUCCCGGGCCUUGUACACACCGCCCGUCACACCAUGGGAGCCGGUAAUACCCGAAGUCAGUAGUCCAACCCCGUGAGGACGCUGCCGAAGGUAGGAUUGGCGACUGGGGUGAAGUCGUAACAAGGUACC
rnacentral:rRNA from 1 species